GCUUUAGAUCAUCAGGAACCAGUACUCUGCAAACCCCACCAUGGCCGGGAUGCUCCUCAUUCUCACCUUACUUAUACUCUGCCCAGGCUCCAAAGCACAGUCGAGGCUGAGUCAGGAAGCCACCAUGUCUGCUUCCGUUGGACAAGAAGUCACCCUCGUCUGUACUGGAAGUGGUGGAAAUAUUGGAGCAUAUGAUGCAUCCUGGCACAAAGAAAUACCGGGGGAUGUCCCCAAAUUUGUGACAAUUGGCUACUCCCGACCCUUUGACAAAACGUAUUCCCUGACUAUGACUGACCUUCAGCCUGAGGAUGAGGCCAGUUAUUACUGUUCAACAUGGGACUAUGGCACAAAUGCUCACACUGUAUGCCAGAUGCUUGAGGAACUGAGACAAAAUCAUCCCCAACCCAUGCCAGCCUGA